UCUAGAAUCAGAGACACGGGUUCGAGGU
rnacentral:sRNA from 1 species